UUGCAUGAUGGAUUUUGGAUCUGUGUUGCAUCUUUCCUGUGGGAUGUCAAUAUGUCCAUAUCAUGCUAAAGUAAAAACCUAUAGGAGGCAUCAGGGCAACCAGUUGUGAAGUACAAACUGAGUUGUAGUAUAUUUCUCCUACAAUG
rnacentral:snoRNA from 1 species